GGUUAAGCGACUAAGCGUACACGGUGGAUGCCCUGGCAGUCAGAGGCGAUGAAGGGCGUGCUAAUCUGCGAUAAGCGCCGGUAAGGU
rnacentral:rRNA from 2 species